UUCUUUUCUCUAUGGAGUUGAUGUUUGUUGUUGCUCGGUUUCGGGUAUUUUAUUUAAUAAAAUAACUGUCGGUGACCGCGGUUUGCGGUGAAUUAUUUUAUUCAGCAAUUUAAGUGUGAUUUCUCGAUGCCAAAAUGUCUUACAGCCCAAAUUCUGAACUUUUGAGACGAACAAUUGACCUAAAUUAUGCUAAUAAGAAAAGAGCUAGUUCUAUGAAAUGGAUCGCGAUCAACGGCUUGGUUCUUCUUGUUUUCGCCUAUGAUUUAUGGGGCAAGUGCGCGGGCUACACGUCGCUGCUGCACUACGCGGAGCUGUGCGUGGCGGGCGUGGCGGCCGCCAACCUGCUGCAGCACGCCGCCGCGC